AACUUAAGAUGUCGUGGGCUGCACUUGCAGUCAGAGGCUAAAAACAUUUUAGGCCUCUAUUAGCUUCGGAAGGAACCUCACUGCACAAACCUUAGUUUUUAUUUAAGACACUGUAUUGCCUCCGAAUGCAUAAUGAAAAACGUGCAGUCGACUGCACAUUUAGUUCAGGCAGAUGCAGCCGCUGCGUGAAGAGGAUGACGCACAACAGCAUCGGAGAUGAUCGGCACCGCUGACUCUGAGGAUGACAGCGUCGCCGCAAAAACAUCCAGCGACAAAAACACAUUGAGCGGAGAGUGAUGCCGUCGUCUGCAGCUGAACCGGGAAACGCAGAGUAAGAUGAGAUGCCCGGCCGUUUAGCGGCGAGUAUCGCUGCACCUCAUUCCGUUUGAGGCAGACAAGGGUUGCGCAUCGUCACAAGGAGCCGUGCGGGACAUGGACCCAGCGGCUGCGGGAAUCGGGAGUGAUGGAAGCCCGACAGAGGCAGCGGCCGCCGGAUCCAGUCUGCAACUUGACUUUGGGGACACCGAUUCAACCGAGAAGGCUCAAAUAACAGAGAUGCCUUCCCUGUUUGGAACAGAACAAAGUCGUGAGAAGAAGAUCGGCCACAGGAGAGUAGAUGCCCAUGGAGAGACAACAUAUAAAAAAACCACCUCUUCUGCCUUGAAAGGGGCAAUCCAGUUGGGGAUCGGAUAUACCGUUGGCAACCUUAGCUCCAAGCCUGAGAGAGAUGUCCUCAUGCAGGAUUUCUACGUGGUGGAAAGCAUCUUCUUCCCUAGUGAAGGCAGUAACCUCACUCCAGCUCAUCACUACCCAGACUUCAGGUUCAAAACCUACGCUCCCGUGGCCUUCCGCUACUUCAGAGAGCUGUUUGGGAUCCGGCCAGAUGACUACCUGUACUCGCUGUGUAAUGAGCCACUGAUUGAGUUGAGCAAUCCGGGAGCAAGCGGCUCCAUAUUCUAUGUGACCAGUGAUGACGAGUUUAUCAUCAAAACCGUCCUGCACAAGGAGGCAGAGUUUCUGCAGAAAUUGCUCCCUGGAUAUUACAUGAACUUGAACCAGAACCCCCGCACUUUGCUGCCCAAGUUUUUUGGCCUUUACUGCGUCCAGAGUGGUGGCAAGAACAUUCGAAUAAUUGUGAUGAACAAUAUAUUGCCACGCUCGGUUCGCAUGCACCUCAAAUUCGACCUCAAGGGCUCGACGUACAAGAGGCAAGCAUCCAAGAAGGAAAGGGAGAAGUCCAAGCCCACGUUUAAAGACCUGGAUUUUCUGACUGAUGUUCCUGAGGGCCUCACUUUGGAUCAGGAAAUGUACAACGCUUUGGUCAAAACACUGCAACGGGACUGCCUGGUUCUGGAAAGCUUUAAGAUCAUGGAUUACAGUUUGCUGCUUGGGGUUCACAACCAAACCCUGGCAGAGAAAGAAAAUCAGUCCCAGGGCUCACCAGCAGGAGGCGGCGAUGAGAAGAAGCCUGCAGGACAGAGGGCUCUCUAUUCCACCGCUAUGGAGUCCAUACAAGGCGGGUCCACAUGCAGGGACGCAAUGGAACAUGAUGACACUAUGGGAGGUAUCCCAGCAAUGGGAAGUAAAGGAGAGCGCCUCCUGCUGUUCAUUGGGAUUAUUGACAUUCUGCAGUCCUACAGACUGAUUAAAAAACUGGAACACUCCUGGAAGUCUCUCAUCCAUGAUGGAGACACGGUGUCGGUCCACAGACCUAGUUUCUAUGCAGAGAGGUUCUUCAAGUUCUGCAGCACAGUUGUCUUCAGGAAAAGCUGCUCAUUACGACCAUCUCCAUCUAAGAAAGGUCGAGGGGCCCUCUCAGGAUCCAAGUACGGUGCUGGAGGCGGAUUGGCCGGACAGCGCCCCUCACUGACUGAUGAAAGACAGGAAAACCUGGAGAACUUGGAGAACCUCAGAGGAGCCCACAGCUUUUCUAUUCUGGAAGAGAAUGGUAAAGAGCCGCCCUGCACCCCUCCGUCAUUUGAAGACGCAACGACAGCAUCUAUUGCAACCACGCUGUCAUCUAACAACUCUUUACCAACCACCCCCUUUGAUACUCCAGAACAUCCCCGCUCCAGAAGACAAAUGCAUUCACCAAACAUAGUCAGAUCACAAAAAGAGCUGGUUGAGGUUCACGGCGAACGUCAGGACACUAUAACUGUGGAAGUGGAGCUGAGCAAGAUCCCGCAGAGUACGGAGCUGACGCAGAGGACAGAAAUCACGUCUUCCAGCCAACAAACAUUCAGUCAUCAAACUUGUACAGUAGCUUCGUUCGCCCCCAGCUCUACAUGUUCAUCCUCUGCAUAUUCCUCCGCUACUCUUCCUCCUUCCUUUGCGUCAUCCUCCUCUGCUCAGUGUGCUGCCCAGUCAUCCUCUACGCUUUCUUCAUCCAUCCGUCCGUCCACCAAACCGCUCACCUCUCCGGGAGCCGCUCAGGCUUUAACUCUCUCCUCUCCGAUCUCUGACUCAAAUGCAAAAUCUGUUCAGCUCACCGGUUUGUCUCCGAACGCCUCCACCCUCACUCCUGCCUCAGCAUUCACCCCCAUUCACCCCGCAUCCGCUAGCUCCUCUCAGCAUUUUCCCUCCACUCCUCCCUCUUCAGCCCCUUCGAGCCCCCACUUGCCUCAGGAAGAACCGCGUACUUCACAAAAGCAGCUUUCGGUGUCCAGCAGCCACAGCUCCUUGGAAGCGGAGGUGCAGGUCUCUGACAUUUACUUUUGGUCCAGUCAGGAUAGCGUGGUAGAGUUGUGAUGACUCAGGAGGACCAGAGCUGUGUUUUCUCUCCUUUCCACUGCAGCUCUGAGUCCAGAAGAGACUCAGAUGUGGACAGUGAAACAUAAUUUCAGUCGAAGGCAGCGGCAGUGGGUGGAGCCAGAGGCUUUCUCCUUACACAAAAGCUGGGAGGGUGUAAUGAUAAAGGCAGCAGGACACUGAUGAUUUACUGCUGGCUGCUGAAGCUGCAUGUAAGAGUCUGCUUUGCUUAUAGUAAAUCUUAUUACCUGGCAUUCAGCUGAAAGAAUGCAGCUUUGCAUUAUGCAUUUGAACCGAUGUACAGAGAGAUUUACUGCUAAUCUAGUGGGAGUCUGUUAUGUACAAUUUGUUCAUACAGAAGUGGAGAAACGUAUGAAUCUUACAGUACAAUCAGCUUAGUAGCACUGUGAACAAUUUUGGUAAUUGUGAUAAAGCUCUUAAUGCUUUUAACAGGAUAAUCAUUGUCAAGAUUCAAACGUCGAUUUAAAUCCCACGACAUAAAUAUUGUGUCAAUUAAUUUAAAUUUAAUUUCAGUGCAAACCCUACUGUUAUUAUUAUUCUUUUAAAAGCCAAAAGUCUGUGUAUAAGUAACAGCUUGGUUGCAGAGGGAGCAGCCAAAGCGAGGUGAAUCAAACAUUCCUUUCCCCAGCUCUGCCUAUGCAAUAUGUGUUAUCGAUUCCUCCUAUUGACUCACUUGUAAUUAGCCUGGACUUCAUUGUGCAUUUGUUUUAACUAGAGGGGAAUCAGCUCUGUAUAAUUUGAUUUUAGCACUUUAACUAUGUCUAUGAUUGAUCUUAGCACACACACUCAGACACAGUGAAUACCCUUCGCAUACAGUGGUCCUCCAGCGGUGUGUAGUGGCUCAGUCAAAGAAAAAAAAAACAAACAAAAAAAAAAAACGAUCUGGAAGCAAGUGGUUUUGUUCAAAAUGCCUUAUCAACUAACUCAGAAGCUUAUUUUUCUGAUAAAAUUAUAAAAAAAUAUGACUUAAGAAUUCAAAUAUGGACAAAAUAAAAUUGGUAAGUAAAUACCAAAUAUUAGUAGCAGGGUAAAAGUACUAUAGGAGAAGAGAUAAGACAAUAAAAUGAUAAAAUAUCUUUUGUAAAUCAUCAGUUUUCAUGUGCUUAAGCACAUGCAUGUAGGUGUGUACAUGUUGUGUUGUGUGUGCAUGUGUUUGCAUGUCUACAGUGUUUGAUUGAGAGAUGCACAUGUUGAUAUUUUUCCAGUGUUCUCUUUUUGUCAAAAUGUCAAAAGGUGUUGUAACAAGUCAUGAAAUACAGGAGCAUCUCAAUAAAUAAAAAUAAAGAAAUCUGCGUAAAGUCAACUUAUUUCAGUAACUUGGCUUGAAAAGUGAAAAUCAUGAAUAGAUUUAGUGCACUCAGAAUCAUUUAUUUUAAAUACUUAUUCUUAUUAACUUUAUGAAAGCUAAUGAAACCCAAAAUAUUAUAAUUAAAUAUAUAUAUAUAUUUUUUAGAAAAGCUGAAUUCUACUUAAAACCAAUACUUCAUAGUAGAAAUAAUUCAUGUAAUGGCCUGCACAGUCUUGGAGAAGAUGGCUCACACAGUUGUUCAUUAUUGACCCCUGCUAGCGGGAUACACCACAAUGUGUCAUUAUUUAAUAAAAUACCUGUAUCCAAGUAUGUUAACAGAAAGUUGAGUGGAAGGAAAAAGUGUGGAGGAACACAAUUUUAGAUUUUUAUAAUCAUACCCACUUGUCCACACAAGGCUGCGGGCGUGCUAGUCGCUAUCUCAGCUGGUCAUUAGAUGAGAGGUGUGAGGUGUUUCCUGCAGUCCUGAUGGCCUGGUUAUCCGUCACAUGGAUAGGUCGCCACUCCAUCACAGAGCAACACAAAAAACACAACAGAAAAAUAACCUGGCAUUUGCAUGGACAUACUAAAUGGUAAUUUAGAGAGAGCAUUUAUCCUAGGAACGAUGAAUCUGGUCUGUAAGAGGGAGGCUGGUCCUGACUGGUAUGCUCCCAGUCAGGAUUUUAGUAGAGGCAUUUUUUCUUGCUGACCACAGGAUUAGAAAAAGCUGGCUUUCAUAAUCAUCAAAUUCAACGUAGAACUAGCCCAUAUUACUCUGUUUGUUUGUACAGAAAUAUGAGUUUCCCUUUUUGAAUGGAGUUACUGACAUAAAGUAUCUUUGCAUUCCAAUUUACUGAGUUUUACUUUUAUUUUAAUCACCUGCUGUUCAUGCUUUAGCUGUCUAAGAAAAAUAAAAUGCAGUUGACCAAUUGUUUAAUGAAGCAUGAUACUUCAUAACAUAUGCAGAAAUGAAAACUCUUCAGUUUUCCAGACAGUUUAUUUGGCAAUACAUCUUCCUUGAACUGUGACCUGCUGAAACAACAGGGAUCCAAAUCCCUGUCUGAGUUUCUUUUUCUACUGUAUCAUUUGAGGCUGCUGAUGUUGACUUGCCUGUUUGUGGGCAACAGUGUUUGUAGAUUAUCACUGUGAAAAAAUAAAUAAAAUAAAAUUAUGUUGUCUAAA